rnacentral:rRNA from 1 species
UACAGAGGGUGCGAGCGUUGUUCGGAAUUACUGGGCGUAAAGCGCGCGCAGGAGGCCCUUUAAGUCCGUCGGUCAAAUGCCGGGGCUCAACCCCGAUGCAUGCCGAGGAUACUGGAGGGCUGGAGACACGUAGAGGCAAGCGGAAUUCCGGGUGUAGCGGUGGAAUGCGUAGAGAUCCGGAAGAACACCGGAGGCGAAGGCGGCUUGCUGGGCGUGAUCUGACGCUGAGGCGCGAAAGCUAGGGGAGCAAACGGG